rnacentral:misc_RNA from 1 species
CAUCAUCAACCCCCCGGUGGUUUUGCCACCGGGUUGGGACUGGACUUGGAGGCUGUGCUGGACGCAAGUCCGGCUCCUCUCGAAUGCAUUAGCUGGAAGCGGGCGGAUCGACGCGCUGUGUGAUAGUCUUAUCCACUGUGCGCUGACCUGCAUAUAUGCGCCGGCUUAUAACUACAAACUCUCUAAA